CCCUUAGACGUCCGGGGCUGCACGCGCGCUACACUGAAGGAAUCAGCGUGCUAAAACCAUUGUCGAAAGGCAUUGGUAAACCCAUUAAAAUCCUACGUGAUUGGGAUCGGGAAUUGCAAUUAUUUCCCUUGAACGAGGAAUUCCCAGUAAGUGUGGGUCAUAAGCUCGCGUUGAUUACGUCCCUGCCCUUUGUACACACCGCCCGUCGCUGCCCGGGACUGAGCCGUUUCGAGAAAAGCGGGGACUGCUGCUGUCGGGGCUUUCGGGCCUUGGCUUCGGUGGAAACCGCUUUAAUCGCAGUGGCUUGAACCGGGCAAAAGUCGUAACA
rnacentral:rRNA from 1 species